rnacentral:rRNA from 2 species
UGGGGAAUCUUCCGCAAUGGACGAAAGUCUGACGGAGCAACGCCGCGUGGGUGAUGAAGGUUUUCGGAUCGUAAAGCCCUGUCAAUGAGGACGAAUGGUUGUCUUGCAAAUAGUGGGAUAACAUGACGGUACUCAAGGAGGAAGCCACGGCUAACUACGUGCCAGCAGCCGCGGUAAUACGUAGGUGGCAAGCGUUGUCCGGAAUUAUUGGGCGUAAAGGGCGCGUAGGCGGAUAUUUAAGUCUGUCGUAAAAAUGCGGGGCUCAACCCCGUAGUGUCGAUGGAAACUGGAUAUCUUGAGAGCAGGAGAGGAAAGUAGAAUUCCCAGUGUAGCGGUGAAAUGCGUAGAUAUUGGGAGGAAUACCAGUGGCGAAGGCGGCUUUCUGGACUGUUUCUGACGCUGAGGCGCGAAAGCUAGGGGAGCGAACG